UGACCCCAAGUCAUACGGGGCUACCUGCUGAGUUUAAGCAUAUCAAUAAGUGGAGGAGAAGAAACUUAUGAGGAUUACCUUAGUAAUGGCCAGCUUGAGAAUUGGGUGGCUUUGUCAUUCGAAUUGUAGUCUAUAAAAGCAUCCUCAGUGGUGGACCGGGCCCAAGUCCGCUGCAAGGGGGCACCAGAGAAGGUGAGAGCCCCCUCAUGUCCGGACCUUGUCACACCAUGAGCCACUGUCGACGAGUCGAGUUGUUUGGGAAUGUAGCCCCAAUUGGGCAGUAAAUUCCAUCCAAGGCUAAAUAUAGGCGGGAAACCGAUAGCGAACAAGUACCGUGAGGAAAAGAUGAAAAGAACUUUGAAAAGAGAGUCAAAGAGUGCUUGAAACUGUCAAGAGGGAAGCGGAUGGGGGCCGGUGAUGUGUCUCGAUCGGAUAUGAAACUGUGAACCAGUCCACCCUCGACUCGGGGCGUGGACCGCUGUGGAUUGCGACAGAGUCCCAAGCCCAGGUUGUCACUUUAUGCCUUAGGAGAUGUCAUCGCCACGAUCAUGGUAGGCAGCGCGCACCUUGAUGGCAUGCCUAUUGGCAACUACAUACUCUGGACAUUGGCUUGUCGGGCCCCCCAUUCAACUCAUUUUGAAACAUAGACCAAGGAGUUUGACAUGUGUGUGAGUGAACGAGUGAGUAAAAUUCAUAAGGUGUAAAGAAGCAGACUGGUGAGAUCCCCUUGUGGGUUAUACCACCGACUAGCCUUGAUUUUCUGUGAAGGGUUCGAGAGAGAGCAUAACUGUCGGGACCCGAAAGAUGGUUAACUAUGCAUGAGCGGGGCAAAGCCGGAGGAAACUCUAGUGGAGACCCGCAGCAAUAUUGAUGUGCAAAUCAUUUGUCUGACUUGGGUAUAGGGCAAAAGACUAAUCGAACCGUCUAAUAGCUGGUUCCCUCUGAAGUUUCCCUUAGGAUAGCUGAAGCCUGCGGGGAAGUUCUAUUGGGUAAAGUCAAUAAUUAAAGGCAUCAAGGGCACAAUGCCCUCGACCUAUUCUCAAACUUUAAAUAGGUAGGAUGGCAUGGCUACUUCAUUAAGUUCACCAGGGAAUCGAGAGCUCCAAGUGGGCCACUUUUGAUAAGCAGAACUGGCGAUGCGGGAUGAACCGAAAGCUGGGUUAUGGUGCCAGAUUACAUACUAACCUAGAACCCAUAAAAGGUGUUGGUUGAUUAAGAUAGCAAGACGGUGGUCAUGGAAGUUAAAAUCCACUAAGGAGUGUGCAGCAACUCACUUGUCGAAUCAACUAGCCCUGAAAAUAGAUGGUACUGAAGUGCAUAACCUACACCCGACAGUCGAGGCAACUACCAGGCCCCGAUGAGUAGGAGGGCAUGGUGGUUACCGUAAAACCAGGGGCAUGAGCCCUAGUGGAGCGGCCGUCGGUGUAGAUCUUGGUGCUAGUAGCAAAUAUUCAAAUGAGAACUUUGAAGGCCGAAGAGGGGAAAGGUUCCAUGUGAAUGGCACUUGCACAUGGGUUAGUCGAUCCUAAGGGACGAGGGAAGCCCAUCAGAAAGCAUGUAUACAUGUGUGCUCCGAAAGGGAGUCAGGUUAAAAUUCCCAAACCGGGACGUGGCGGUUGACAACAAUGUUAGGAAAUCCAAAGACGUCAAUGGGGGCCGUGGGAAGAGUUAUCUUUUCUGUUUAACAGCCUGCCCAUCCUGGAAAUGGCUCAGUCGGAGGUAGGGUCCAGCGGCUGGAAGAGCACUGCACGUCACCUGGUGUCUGGUGCACCCCCGGUGGCCCUUAAAAAUCUAGAGGACCGAGUGCCGACCAUGCCCAAUCGUGCUCAUAACCCCAUCAGGCCUCCAAGGUCAAUAGCCUCUAGUUAAUGGAAUAAUGUAGGCAAAGGAAGUCGGCAAAAUGGAUCCUUAACCUUAGGAAAAGGAUUGGCUCUGAGGGUUGGGCACGGAGGUCCUAGUCCCGAACCCAUCCACUAUCGAUGGACUGCUUGAGCUACUUUCGUGGUGAGAGCGGGUCACCGUGUGCCAGUCGGGGGACAGAUUGGGAACGGCCUCCUCAGGGGCCUUCCCCGGGCAUCAAACAGUCGACUCAGAACUGGUACGGAUAAGGGGAAUCCAACUAUUUAAUUAAAACAAAGCAUUAUGAUGGUCCUUGUGGAUGCUCAUGUAAUGUGAUUUUGACCUAGUGCUCUGAAUGUCAAAGUGAAGAAAUUCAACCAAGCACGGGUAAACGGCGGGAGUAACUAUGACUCUCUUAAGGUAGCCAAAUGCCUCAUCAUCUAAUUAGUGACGUGCAUGAAUGGAUUAACGAGAUUCCCACUAUCCCUGUCUACUAUCCAGCGAAACCACAACCAAGGGAACGGGCUUGGCAGAAUCAGCGGGGAAAGAAGACCCUUUUGAGCUUGACUCUAGUCCGACUUUGUGAAAUGAUUUGAGAGGUGUAGGAUAAGUUGGAGCUGGAAAUGGUGCAAGUGAAAUACCACUUCUUUUAAUGUUAUUUUACUUACUCCAUGAGUCGGAGGUGGGGCUCUGCCCCUCCUUUUGGACCCAAGGCGCACCUCGACAGGAUGAUCCGAGUGGAGGACAUUGUCAGGUGGGGAGUUUGGCUGGGUGGCAAAUCUGUUAAAAGAUAAUGUAGAUGUCCUAAGAUGAGUUCAACGAGAACAGAAAUCUUGUGUGGAUUAAAAGGGUAAAAGCUUAUUUGAUUCUGAUUUCCAGUACGAAUUUGACCAGUGAAAGCAUAGCCUAUCGAUCCUUUAGACCUUCAGAAUUUGAAGCUAGAGGUGUCAGAAAAGUUACCACAGGGAUAACUGGCUUGUGGCAGCUAAGCAUUUAUAGCAACGUUGCUUUUUGAUCCUUUGAUGUUGGCUCUUCCUAUCACUACAAAGCAAAAUUCACCAAGUGUUGAAUUGUUCACCCACCAAUAGGGAACAUGAGCUGGGUUUAGAUCGUCAUGAGAUAGGUUAGUUUUACCAUACUGAUGAUAGUAUCGAGAUAGUACUUCAACCUAGUACGAGAGGAACCGUUGAUUCACACAAUUGGUCAUUAUGCUUGGUUGAAAAGCCAGUGGCGUGAAGCUGUCGUGUGUCGGAUUAUGAUUGAAUGCUUCUAAGUCAGAAUCCCGGCUAAAGAAGCAAUGCCUGUGCCUGUCGCCCAUUUGUUGACGCACAGUAGGAGCCCUCUGGCCUGUAGAGGCACGUGUCAUUGGCCAAGCCCUCGCAGUGGACGUGCUGUUUGGGUUGCCUUGAAGCGUAAUUCCUGUCGGCCGAUAGGGUAUUGUAAGUGGUAGAGUGGCCUUGCUGCCACGAUCCACUGAGAUUCAGCCCCGUGUCGCAUCGAUUCAU